rnacentral:misc_RNA from 1 species
AGAGUUAAAUAGUACGUGAAAUUGUUGAAAGGGAAACGGUUGAAGUCAGUCAUGCCGGCGGGAAUCAGCUUAGGGGAAACUCUGAGUGCACUUCUUCGCUUGGCAGGUUAGCGUCGAUUUUGGACGUCAUAAAAUGACUGGGGGAAGGUAGCUCCUACGGGAGUGUUAAGCCCUUGGUAGAUGUGAUGUCCGGGAUCGAGGAUUGCAACGGAUACCCUUUGGGCUAGCCGCCUAGUCUCUAAUACGAAGUCGGGUUACGGACAGCAUGCUGACCGUGUUCUGAUUUUCGGUUAAAAGAUUAGAGCGAGUGUAAAUUCGUUAAGGACGCUGACGUAAUGGCUUUAAACGA